rnacentral:lncRNA from 1 species
GGUAUACCACACUCAAUUAAUUUGACUCUUUAAACUAUUUGGCAGCUUCUCUCAGACAGCCAAAAAUAGUACGCGAGUUGAAAUAAAACACCUCAAAUAAUUUCGAACGGAAUUAACUGUUACAAAUGAUUGGAUCUCUUCGAGCCAGAUUCAACAUACCAAUAUUUCCAACUACUUGCAAAGCGAUUUUUUCAUAUAAAGAUGUAAAAAGAAUAAAAACAGCUGGAUAGAAAUAAAAGGAAAAAAUAUUGAAAAUAUGAACUCGACGCGAUUCGAACUCAAAGGUUUGUCGAGACAGGCCAAACGACCUUUCACUAAGCCACCGAGGGAGAACGAAAGUUUAUGUCAAAUUAAACACUAUAGCUAAUUGUCGUGACGCGCUUAUCUUAUGCGGUGAAAUAGUUUAUUAGGCGGUGAAUUGCGGUGAAGAAUUUUGGCAGUUCGAGGCAACUUAGAACGCCAUGGUGGCAGCACUUUCCUUGCGAUAGUAACUUCUACUAUUUGCUCAUACUGUAUGUUGUAUUUGAGCCAAAGUAUAUGGUAUACCACACUCAAUUAAUUUGACUCUUUAAACUAUUUGGCAGCUUCUCUCAGACAGCCAAAAAUAGUACGCGAGUUGAAAUAAAACACCUCAAAUAAUUUCGAACGGAAUUAACUGUUAGAAAUGAUUGGAUCUCUUCGAGCCAGGUUCAACAUACCAAUAUUUCCAACUACUUGCAAAGCGAUUUUUUCAUAUAAAGAUGUAAAAAGAAUAAAAACAGCGGGAUAGAAAUAAAAGGAAAAAAUAUUGAAAAUAUGAACUCGUCGCGAUUCGAACUCAAAGGUUUGUCGAGACAGGCCAAACGACCUUCCACUAAGCCACCGAGGGAGAACGAAAGUUUAUGUCAAAUUAAACACUAUAGCUAAUUGUCGUGACGCGCUUAUCUUAUGCGGUGAAAUAGUUUAUUAGGCGGUGAAUUGCGGUGAAGAAUUUUGGCAGUUCGAGGCAACUUAGAACGCCAUGGUGGCAGCACUUUCCUUGCGAUAGUAACUUUUACUAUUUGCUCAUACUGUAUGUUGUAUUUGAGCCAAAGUAUAUGGUAUACCACACUCAAUUAAUUUGACUCUUUAAACUAUUUGGCAGCUUCUUUCAGACAGCCAAAAAUAGUACGCGAGUUGAAAUAAAACACCUCAAAUAAUUUCGAACGGAAUUAACUGUUAGAAAUGAUUGCAUCUCUUCGAGCCAGGUUCAACAUACCAAUAUUUCCAACUACAUGCAAAGCGUUUUUUUCAUAUAAAGAUGUAAAAAGAAUAAAAGCAGCUGGAUAGAAAUAAAAGGAAAAAAUAUUGAAAAUAUGAACUCGACGCGAUUCGAACUCAAAGGUUUGUCGAGACAGGCCAAACGACCUUCCACUAAGCCACCGAGGGAGAACGAAAGUUUAUGUCAAAUUAAACACUAUAGCUAAUUGUCGUGACGCGCUUAUCUUAUGCGGUGAAAUAGUCUAUUAGGCGGUGAAUUGCGGUGAAGAAUUUUGGCAGUUCGAGGCAACUUAGAACGCCAUGGUGGCAGCACUUUCCUUGCGAUAGUAACUUCUACUAUUUGCUCAUACUGUAUGUUGUAUUUGAGCCAAAGUAUAUGGUAUACCACACUCAAUUAAUUUGACUCUUUAAACUAUUUGGCAGCUUCUCUCAGACAGCCAAAAAUAGUACGCGAGUUGAAAUAAAACACCUCAAAUAAUUUGAACGGAAUUAACUGUUAGAAAUGAUUGGAUCUCUUCGAGCCAGGUUCAACAUACCAAUAUUUCCAACUACUUGCAAAGCGAUUUUUUCAUAUAAAGAUGUAAAAAGAAUAAAAACAGCUGGAUAGAAAUAAAAGGAAAAAAUAUUGAAAAUAUGAACUCGACACGAUUCGAACUCAAAGGUUUGUCGAGACAGGCCAAACGACCUACCACUAAGCCACCGAGGGAGAACGAAAGUUUAUGUCAAAUUAAACACUAUAGCUAAUUGUCGUUACGCGCUUAUCUUAUGCGGUGAAAUAAUUACUAUGCGGUGAAUUGCGGUGAAGGAUAUAGGCAGUUCGCGGCAACUUAGAACGCCAUGAUGGCAGCACUUUCCUUGCGGUAGUAACUUCUAGUAUUUGCUUAUACUCUAUCUUGUAUUUGAGCCAAAGUAUACGCUAUACCACACUCAAUUUGACUCUUUAAACUAUUUGGCAGCUUCCCUCAAACAGCCAAAAAUAGUACGCGAGUUGAAAUAAAACUCAAAUAAUAUCGAACGGAAUUAACUGUUAGAAAUGAUUGGAUCUCUUCGAGCCAGGUUCAACAUACCAAUAUUUCCAACUACUUGCAAAGCGAUUUCUCAUAUAAAGAUGUAAAAAGAAUAAAAACAGCUGGAUAGAAAUAAAAGGAAAAAAUAUUGAAAAUAUUAACUCGACGCGAUUCGAACUCAAAGGUUUGUCGAGACAGGCCAAACGACCUUCCACUAAGCCACCGAGGGAGAACGAAAGUUUAUGUCAAAUUAAACACUAUAGCUAAUUGUCGUGACGCGCUUAUCUUAUGCGGUGAAAUAGUUUAUUAGGCGGUGAAUUGCGGUGAAGAAUAUAGGCCGUUCGCGGCAACUUAGAACGCCAUGAUGGCAGCACUUUCCUUGCGAUAGUAACUUCUAGUAUUUGCUUAUACUGUAUGUUGUAUUUGAGGCAAAGUAUACGGUAUACCACACUCAAUUUGUUUCUUUAAACUAUUUGGCAGCUUCUCUCAAACAGCCAAAAAUAGUACGCGAGUUGAAAUAAAACACCUCAAAUAAUAUCGAACGGAAUUAAGUGUUAGAAAUGAUUGGAUCUCUUCGAGCCAGGUUCAACAUACCAAUAUUUCCAACUACUUGCAAAGCGAUUUUUUCAUAUAAAGAUGUAAAAAGAAUAAAAACAGCUGGAUAGAAAUAAAAGGAAAAAAUAUUGAAAAUAUGAACUCGACGCGAUUCGAACUCAAAGGUUUGUCGAGACAGGCCAAACGACCUACCACUAAGCCACCGAGGGAGAACGAAAGUUUAUGUCAAAUUAAACACUAUAGCUAAUUGUCGUGACGCGCUUAUCUUAUGCGGUGAAAUAGU